AAUGAUGGAGGGGGAGACACUCUUCUCUCACAAAAGCCCACCUUCUUCCGUGCUGGAGGCUUCCAGUGUGGAGAGAGGGAGCAGGGAAGGGACAGUGGUGUCUCCCGAGGUGACGAUGCCACCUGCACUCCAGGUGGAGCUCAUUUUCUCUGAGACAUAGGUGGAGGUGCUUAAGGGAUUUGGGCCCAAACAAUUCCAGAAAGAAGCCUUUGAGAGAUGUUGUGACGCCAGGCCUGCAGCCCUCUGACCGCUUUCCCCAGAGCCCAGAGCCCCUCGGCUUCCUGCCUCCGUGGUCCUUGACAAUCCUGCCCCCUCCCAUCUUAUGCACCUUCUGUGGUCGCAACGCUGGAGGCGAGAAAGAGCUGAGGUUGCAAAACACGGCCGAACGAAAGGAAAAGAAGUGAAAAGAAAAUGAAUGUUCAAGGUACCGGAGAUCCCAGUUGGAGCUGGCUUGACUGAGACCUGUGUUCAGGAGGGAGGCUGCUCGGAGGAUUGAAGCACACCGAGUUUGGGGGAAAAAUGGAACCUGAAUGUCUUCGUGUGGAACCUGCUGUCUCCAGUUUAUCCCCAGGUCCCACCUUCGGGCUUAAAAAGGGGCUGCUUUCUACAUUUAUAUGACCUACUCAGCUUAAGAUUUUGUUUCCUUAAUUUUUUUUUUUUAGUAUGAAAAAUUCCAGAAUACAGAAGUAAAGAGAAUGGUACAAUAAAUCCCAUAU